UACGGGGGGAGCAAGCGUUGUUCGGAUUUACUGGGCGUAAAGGGCGCGUAGGCGGCCAGCACAAGUCAGUUGUGAAAUCUCCGGGCUUAACUCGGAAAGGUCAACUGAUACUGUGCGGCUAGAGUGCGGAAGGGGCAACUGGAAUUCUCGGUGUAGCGGUGAAAUGCGUAGAUAUCGAGAGGAACACCUGCGGCGAAGGCGGGUUGCUGGGCCGACACUGACGCUGAGGCGCGAAAGCCAGGGAGCGAACGGG
rnacentral:rRNA from 1 species